AGUUUAGAGGCAACCUCUUCAACACCGAGUGGGCCAUAUUUUCAAUAAUUUCUCUGAAUUUGUAAGAGCAGCGAUAAUAGGGGACGAGAGGGAAACAAUUGAGUUUAUUUUAUGUUGUGGAUAGGUUUGUAAAAUUGUGAAAAACAUGUUCACCUAUUCUGAGAACCAAGUGGGCUAUUCAAAUGUCUAAAUGCACCUUUCUACACAGUUACAUAGCAAAAUAAACGUCCCUCCAAUGUUGACACACACAUCCACUAGGCUUACCAAAUGCCUCGUUUAAUGCAAUAACAAUAAAAUAUGGAUAUUGCAUGACAUACCCUGAAAGCCCGUGCCUCUUAGCUUUCCGUAGAAUGGCGCGUUUAAAUGAUGUCAUGUGAGUAAACUGCGAUUAGUCCCAUGGAUACGAGGGACGCUGUUUACAGUGAAACGUUGGAUACAUUGUAGCGAUCGUGGCUGAUCGAUCCAUGGUCAUGUUGUUGCUACAAUUUUAAUUUGAAAACGGACACAUCUAAUCAAAUGCAUACGUCGUAUGCAUUCGUCUACUUGUUUUGUACACGACUGCAAAGCAGAUAUAUUCUUGCUGGCAGCCCCGUGUAAAUGUAGGUCACUGUGUUUUUUAAAACAGCUUAGAACUACUUAUGAUGAACAUAGCUUUGCUGUUUUUUUUUUGUUGAAUUCCUGCAUUUAUUUUUCUAUUUCAUAUGAUCAAAAAUGACAACGCAGAUGUUUUGCAAAUAUCCAAUUGUUGAACAGCUAAUCUAACAUUCAUUUGAAUGUGUUUCUAACAAGCUAAUAGAUAGAAUGUGGAAUCGUUGUGGCAUGAAUUCAGCUCUGGAAAGAGCACAGGCACAGCUCUCAGAGAGGAGAAUUACCAAAAACACUGCUGACUCGAAGGAUAACCCAGAGUGUUAUGUGGCCAAAGGAACAGUUAAAACCCAUGGAGAUCCAGGAUAUGUGGACACCAUUGCCAAUAGGAGAAACACCUCACAAGCCAGACAAACCCCACUCCAGGACCUGAGCGACCUAUCAUUAUCCUUAGAGGACGACCCACCACCAGAGAGCGUUGGGGCUGGUUGGGGGAGCAGGUUCAUCAAGAAAGCCCCUCCACCUGCUACCAGCCAACCUCCAGCCCAGAGCAGGACCCAGACACAGCCGGUCGAGCCCAAAUAUGUGACCACAUGCCAGAGGAGCUCACAGAGCGCGGCCCUGAGCCGACUGGCCCUCAUAGAGAACCGCAUCCGAAACCGGCAACAAGCCAGGGAUCGACCAGCACUGUCUAAUAGGAGUACACCACCAGCCCCCCAGGAGAGGGAGACGCCCCUAACCCUAUCUGACCAGUCCAGCAGUGACCUCAGCAUGAAGGGAAAACGCUUCCUGAAGAAGUCAGUGAAUGCAUCACCUACAGCUGCUGUAGUUCCCAAGGAGAAAGGCCCAGAUCUGGAUCUCAUGCCAUUGGGUGGUUUCAAAGCCCCUACUCCUCCAGUGGCCAGUCGAGGUGUGACUCUGGACAGUGAUGAGGAGGAUAUGAGGAAGCUCCUGGGAGGCUCUUUUGAGUUGUCAGAGGAUAGCCUGCACAAAGAAGCAAGAGUGUCCUCACAGACAACUAGAAAGUCCUUCGUCAAAAGAAGCCAAAAGGUUUCACCCUCACCCCCACUGGUCGACUGGCUAUCCUCAGUCAGAGCAUUGUCCCGCUCCCCACCCUUUCCUCAACGACUCGGGUCCCCCAAUCGCUUCUCCAGCCGAGGCCUGGCACAGCAUAGCCCUUCUCUCUCCAUCCGCAGUGCCUCAGCUGUCCUCUCUCCAUCGCCCUCUCCCCCCAACACUCCCGCCCCAGGCAGACAGGGCUCCCCCCGGGCCAGACACCUCAGGUGCUCCCGGUCCUCAGUGUCAGCCCUCAGCGAGGUGCGCUCCCUGGAGGAGCUCUUCCCUGAGGCCUUGGGCUCCCUGGUGGAACUCUACCCUGAGGACCUGCCCUCUGACGAUGCCAUCAGUGAGAAAAGUGGGGUCUCUGAUGAAUUCAAACUUAACAUUAUGUCACUGGACGACCUGGCACCGGUUAUCACGCUUGGAGUGUCUGAGAACAAAAAAAUGAAUAAGAAAGAAACCACAGCGGUCAAGGACCCUGCCGCUAGAUCAUUUAUGGAGGAAGUUUCCAGUGAGGAGCAGAUCCCAUCAGAGGAGCCCAGGAAGGACUAUGAGAGUGACUUUGAGAGUGAGAUCAGGACUGAGACAGACAGGAGUAGGGUGAGUGAGAUCUCUGAGCACCUGGGAUACGGGGACAAGGACAUGUCGGAGGUCAGGAACUACAUCGUCUCGGACACAUCCCGGCAAGACAAGUACUCCAGUGUCUCGGAGGGAGACAGUCACGUCACCCACACAGACUACAGUAGAACCGCUGAUUCAUUCACUGGCAGAAGCAGCAAGGGUUCCUAUUCCCGAUCACCAUCUCGCUCCCCCUCUGUGGCUGACACCAUCACGCCGUCUAGUGUGUGGAAAAGACGCUCGCCCAGCAGAAGGGGCGUGAGAGAGGCUGCGGUGCAGACCCAAGCAGACGGACUGGCCUACACCUGGUCCUCCGUCUGUGUAGGUAUGGCCGCCCUGGGUCCAGCGGUGGGGAUGGCCUACGUGGAUCCAACCCCUGUUGCAAGUCACACCGUCAGUGCAGAGGCUGUGGAGGGAAAGGUUCAGGUCUUCAACCUACUGACCACACCUAUAUUGUGUCUACCUCCUCCCAAGCCCUCAGUGCGUACAGCCCUGCUGUGUUUGUCCUUAACGACAUGCUGAGGCAGCAGCUGGCCCUCACCAAACACUUUGUCCAGACCAGUCGCCACCUCCACUCCUCCUUGCUGCAGUCCCUGGGCCCUGCAGACUACACCUACACCACUCUGGAGGACACCAAGGAGUUCAUUCGCUGUCACAAGUCUCCCCAGCUGACCAUGGAAGAGGCCUUGGAGGAGGUUCUUCAGGAAAUGAGAGAGUAUCACUAUAUCUGACAACCAGGAGCUGCCUUGACUGCACUCAGCGCUGGAAAUGUAUGGACACUUUACAUGGUACUAUUAAAACAUUUUAUACCAGAUCAUUUUUGUAAUGAAAUGUAUUAGUUGGUGCAUGUGAGACUGACCUACAGAUCAGGACAUCCUUAUGACAAGAUAAUUUACUGAGUGUCAUGUUCAAAAGAAUGUACCGCUUUUAUAUUCAGAUCAAUGAGGACAUGUAAUGCUGUUCAAUAAAAAGUUUAAGAACUGGAAUCAUGUUUUUUUUUUAAAAAUCUUGAUAUUAAAUGGACCAUCUUUGAUGCUUGAUUCUGAAGGGACCAUUUGUCUUAUUUACAGUGUACAUUUAAGUUCGAGCGGAGACUAACAGUGCAUUUAUUCAAACAAAUGAAAACAUUAAUCUUUACAGCGUGUGGUUAGAGGGUCAUUUUGAUUCACAUUUGACAUUACAUCAGUGGGUGAAUUCCAAAAACGUAUUUUAUUUUUCUUACAAAAGAGCAACAAUACUUUAUAUCCAUUUCCAAGUCAUCAAACACUGGAACAUAAGAAAAUAAAUGAAUGAGUAUCACAAAAAAAAA